AUCAUUAAAGUGGUAAAAAAUGCAACGUUGCCUUUGCAUUUUACAUGUAAAAUUAGAAAUAAGUCAACAGUGCAUGAUUCUACAAACAAAGCAAAGAUGGUAUUUUGACAGUUUCAAAACGAAGUUUGUUUGCUAGAGAGAGUAUCGACUUUAAGUUGGGG